rnacentral:rRNA from 1 species
CCUACGGGAGGCAGCAGUGGGGAAUAUUGGGCAAUGGGCGCAAGCCUGACCCAGCAACGCCGCGUGAAGGAAGAAGGCUUUCGGGUUGUACUUCUUUUAAGAGGGAAGAGCAGAAGACGGUACCUCUUGAAUAAUCCACGUCUAACUACGUGCCAGCAGCCGCGGUAAUACGUAGGUGGCAAGCGUUGUCCGGAUUUACUGGGUGUAAAGGGCGUGUAGGCGGGAAAGCAAGUCAGAUGUGAAAACCAUGGGCUCAACCUGUGGCCUGCAUUUGAAACUGUUUUUCUUGAGUACUGGAGAGGCAGACGGAAGUCCUAGUGUAGCGGUGAAAUGCGUAGAUAUUAGGAGGAACACCAGUGGCGAAGGCGGUCUGCUGGACAGCAACUGACGCUGAGGCGCGAAAGCGUGGGGAGCAAACAGGAUUAGAUACCCCUGUAGUC